CGGGAAAAGCUCAAAUUUAAAAUCUGGUGGCCGAAAGGUUGCCCGAGUUGUAAUCUGGAGAAGCGUUUUCCGCGUUGGACCGUGUACAAGUCUUCUGGAAUGGAGCGUCAUAGAGGGUGAGAAUCCCGUCUUUGACACGGACUACCAAUGCUUUGUGAUACGCUCUCGAA
rnacentral:rRNA from 1 species